rnacentral:rRNA from 1 species
AUACAACUUUCAACAACGGAUCUCUUGGCUUUCGCAUCGAUGAAGGACGCCGCGAAAGUGCGAAACGUAAUGUGAAUUGCAGAAUUCAGUGAAUCAUCGAAUCUUUGAACGCAUCUUGCGCUCCUUGGUAUUCCGAGGAGCAUGCCUGUUUGAGUGUCGUGAACCUAGCUCAAUCCCACUCCCG